rnacentral:rRNA from 1 species
UGGGGAAUAUUGCGCAAUGGGCGAAAGCCUGACGCAGCGACGCCGCGUGGGUGAUGAAGGCCUUCGGGUCGUAAAGCCCUGUCGGGAGGGACGAAACCUCGGUGACCUAAUACGUCACCGACCUGACGGUACCUCUUAAGGAAGCCCCGGCUAACUCCGUGCCAGCAGCCGCGGUAAUACGGAGGGGGCUAGCGUUGUUCGGAAUUACUGGGCGUAAAGCGUACGUAGGCGGAUGCGCAAGUUGGGGGUGAAAUCCCGGGGCUUAACCUCGGAAUUGCCCUCAAAACUGCACGUCUUGAGACCGAGAGAGGUAAGGGGAAUUCCUAGUGUAGAGGUGAAAUUCGUAGAUAUUAGGAAGAACACCAGUGGCGAAGGCGCCUUACUGGCUCGGUACUGACGCUGAGGUACGAAAGCGUGGGGAGCAAACA